rnacentral:rRNA from 1 species
AGAGUUUGAUCAUGGCUCAGGACGAACGCUGGCGGCGUGCCUAAUGCAUGCAAGUCGAACGCAGUGGCUUCGGCCACUGAGUGGCGCACGGCUGAGUAACACGUACGUAUCUACCCCGUUGUGGGGGAUAACGCCGCGAAAGCGGUGCUAAUCCCGCAUACGCUCGCUGAGGAAAGCCGCAAGGCGCAGCGGGAUGAGCGUGCGGCCCAUCAGGUAGUUGGUGCGGUAAUGGCGUACCAAGCCGGUGACGGGUAGCUGGUCUGAGAGGACGACCAGCCAGACUGGGACUAAGACACGGCCCAGACUCCUACGGGAGGCAGCAGCAAGGAAUUUUCCGCAAUGGGCGAAAGCCUGACGGAGCAACGCCGCGUGGAGGAUGACGGCCUUCGGGUUGUAAACUCCUUUUGAGAGGGAAGAUAUAGACGGUACCUUUCGAAUAAGCCCCGGCUAACUCUGUGCCAGCCGCCGCGGUAAUUC